rnacentral:misc_RNA from 1 species
GAUGAAGAACGCAGCGAAAUGCGAUAAGUAAUGUGAAUUGCAGAAUUCAGUGAAUCAUCGAAUCUUUGAACGCACAUUGCGCCCGCCAGUAUUCUGGCGGGCAUGCCUGUUCGAGCGUCAUUACAACCCUCAGGCCCCCGGGCCUGGCGUUGGGGAUCGGCGGAGCCCCCCGUGGGCACACGCCGUCCCCCAAAUGCAGUGGCGGUCCCGCCGCAGCUUCCAUCGCGUAGUAGCUAACACCUCGCGACUGGAGAGCGGCGCGGCCACGCCGUAAAACACCCAACUCUUCUGAAGUUGACCUCGAAUCAGGUAGGAAUACCCGCUGAACUUAAGCAUAUCAUAAGCGGAGGA